GAUGAACGCUAGCGGCAGGCCUAAUACAUGCAAGUCGAACGAUACCAGAGAGCUUGCUUUCUGGGAAAGUGGCGCACGGGUGCGUAACGCGUAUGCAAUCUACCUUAUACAGGGGGAUAGCCCAGAGAAAUUUGGAUUAAUACCCCAUAGUAUUUUCGAAUGGCAUCAUUUGAUUAUUAAAGUUCCAACGGUAUAAGAUGAGCAUGCGUCCCAUUAGCUAGAUGGUAAGGUAACGGCUUACCAUGGCUACGAUGGGUAGGGGUCCUGAGAGGGAGAUCCCCUACACUGGUACUGAGACACGGACCAGACUCCUACGGGAGGCAGCAGUGAGGAAUAUUGGGCAAUGGUCGCAAGACUGACCCAGCCAUGCCGCGUGCAGGAUGACGGUCCUAUGGAUUGUAAACUGCUUUUGUACAGGAAGAAACACUCCUACGUGUAGGAGCUUGACGGUACUGUAAGAAUAAGGAUCGGCUAACUCCGUGCCAGCCGCCGCGGUAAAAC
rnacentral:rRNA from 1 species